UGAGGAAUAUUGGACAAUGGAGGCAACUCUGAUCCAGCCAUGCCGCGUGAAGGACUAAGGCCCUAUGGGUCGUAAACUUCUUUUGACGCAGAGCAAUAAGGAUUACGUGUAGUCUGAUGAGAGUAUGCGUCGAAUAAGCAUCGGCUAACUCCGUGCCAGCAGCCGCGGUAAUACGGAGGAUGCAAGCGUUAUCCGGAUUUAUUGGGUUUAAAGGGUGCGUAGGCGGCGCAUCAAGCCGGUGGUAAAAUUGCGGGGCUCAACCCCGUAGAGCCAUCGGAACUGGCGUGCUUGAGUGGAGAAGAAGUAUGCGGAAUGCGAGGUGUAGCGGUGAAAUGCAUAGAUAUCGCGCAGAACUCCGAUUGCGAAGGCAGCGUACUAUUCUCCAACUGACGCUGAGGCACGAAAGCGUGGGGAUCGAACAGGAUUAGAUACCCUGGUAGU
rnacentral:rRNA from 1 species